rnacentral:rRNA from 1 species
CCCUUAGAUGUCCUGGGCCGCACGCGCGCUACACUGACAUGUUCAACAAGCCUCCUAGUUCGACAGGAUUUGGGAAAUCUUUGAACGCAUGUCGUGAUAGGGAUAGAUCAUUGCAAUUAUUGAUCUUGAACGAGGAAUUCCUAGUAAACGCGAGUCAUCAGCUCGCAUUGAUUACGUCCCUGCCCUUUGUACACACCGCCCGUCGCACCUACCGAUUGAAUGUUUCGGUAAAGAUUCCGGAUAGGACUUUUUUGAUUUAUUUCAAUUUUGUCUUAAAAGCUAUCUAAACCUCAACAUUUAGAGGAAGGUGAAGUCGUAACA